AUUGAACGCUGGCGGCGUGCCUAACACAUGCAAGUAGAGCGGCGCGGCGGACGGGGGAGUAAAGCCUAGGGAUCUGCGUGGUAGUGGGGGAUAACGUCCGGAAACGGGCGCUAAUACCGCAUACUAUCAGAUGAGGAUCGGUCGGAUUAGCUAGAUGGGGGGGUAAUGGCCUACCAAGGCGACGAACCGUAACCGGGCGGAGAGGAUGAUCAGUCACACUGGAACUGAGACACGGCCCAGACUCCUACGGGAGGCAGCAGUGGGGAAUAUUGGGCAAUGGGGGAAACCCUAACCCACACAGGCGGGGUGGGUGAAGAAGGUUUUCGGAUGGUAAAGCACUUUAAGUUGGGAGGCGUUACCAACAGAAUAAGCACCGGCUAACUUCGUGCCAGCAGCCGCGGUAAUAC
rnacentral:rRNA from 1 species